CCAACUCCCGCCACCCCUACACGCACACAGAGGGACCAAGGGGAAAAAGAAAAGAUAAAAAAAAAUUGCGCCCCCCACCUUCACGAUCAAACCCUCCCUCUCCCCUCACGCGCAUCCCGACUCUCUCUCCCUCAACACCCCUACCCUCUCUUUCUCUCCAACAUCGAUCUCCCUCUCCGACACCGCACCAACCCACGGGACAAGAGAGGAGCUAGUAAUCGCUUGAGCGAGAGAUCGCUUGAAUUGGGGGUUUCGAUUGCCCAGUGGCGGAGCACCAAAGGCUUCUGUUGAUGAAGCCACUUCAAAUCACCAAAGGCUUCUUGGAAGUUCAAGGCGCUAUCAGAUCAGUUUUAUCAUACUCCUGAACACCAUGAUUUUGUGAGGGAGUAAGUUGUCAAUAAGCUAAAGUCUCACCGAGAGAUGCAAGAAGGAUAUGUCCCUAUGGGCUAUGAUGACUACCUGGAAAGGAUGUCCAAGAACUUUCGAGGAGGAAGGAUUGAUGAACACUGUUAAUUUGAAGUGAAGUCCUUGAAUAAGUUGAAGAACUCGUAGAAUUUUGAUUUCAUAUAGAUUUUAUUUCUUUUAGAUUGAAAAUUUUUUUGAAUAAAAUUUUUGAUUGACAAUUGUGUUUUUAGUGUGCAAACUAUCUUGUUUUGUUAAUUGAUUUAGCUUCUCUUGUUUGACAAUUGUUGUAUAUAAUCAAAUUUAAAUUUGUUUGAAUGCUUAA